GUCACACUUUAUAGCGUGAUGACUGCAUAUUAAAUAUGACCAAUAAGAUGUGAUGAUUCCAUAUAAAUGUGAAAUAUCAAUCUGAUUGAUCUUUGAAUGUUUAAUCAGAAGAUUAUAAGGUUCCUUGCUUGUUCAGGGACCAUAAACACACUUCAUAUUAAUUCAGACAGUCAGUAUAUAGUUAAAAAGGAAUUUUAUUCUUUUCUAAACUAAUGAUUAUACAUGACAAGAUAUGAAUAAUGAGAUGUGAUGGAGUGGAUAUGCGGUGAUGGAAUGUGAUGUGUGAGGGGAUGUGAUGUAAACUAGAUGUUUAUCAGAACCUUUAUAUAAAAGAAAUUGUGAAAUCUGGGUGUAAAAUAAUUUGUUGUCUGCUAUAAACUAAAGAGUUGAUUAUUAAUAAAACAGCAUCAGACACAAUCUGUUGUGUCUACAAACCCUGGCGGAGAUCCCCAGCAGAUCCGGAUUGUAAGAAGUUGGGUGGACUUCACGGCACCUAAAGCCAGUAGAUUAACUUUGAUUCAACCCGUCCAGUCUUGAGAUGUUUCCAGGUCACAACAGUAGCUGGAAUGCUUGUCUGCAUCCAAAGUGGAUGCGGCUUUUAGGGAGCCAUCUGGCUGUGUCAGCUUGCAGCGUGCAAACAGGUUGACCGUACGUCAAAAGAGAUGUCCCAAGGAUGUUCCGAAUUGGCCGGUUCGGAACUCGAUUCGAAACUGAAUUACUCGGGAAGUAAUUCCUGUUUUAUUAAACCGCAAUGUUAGGAUUUCUAGUGUAUUCUGGCAAAUCAGAAUUUGACAAGUUUCUAGGUAUUUACCAACAUCCCUUAGAAAGCCCCGCCUUCUUUCAGAUACAAGAAUCUUAAUUCUGUGAAUAAAGAACCGUUAAAUGUUAUGUGAGGUGAACCUUAACCUUAAUUUGUAUCUUAUGAAGAUGUGUAUGAGUGUAGAUAAUGAUUAACUUGUUAAAUUAAACACAGUGAUUAGUGAUAUGAAUGGAUCAUUGUAAGAGCAACAUUCAUUUCAACUUCAUUGAUUUAAGCACAUAUUAUUCAAACAAUUCAUUUAAACAUCUUGUUCAGUCAUCACAUAUGAUUAUUUAACUUAUUACUACUACUACUACUAAACUUUAUUUAUAUAGCACCUUCACAUGGCCCAAGGACCAAACAAAGCGCUGCACAACAGAAAUGAACAUAAAGAAAUAAAACCAUAUAAAACCAUUUAAAAACCAACAAAAACAUGUAGAUAAAAUCUAGGUGGGGGAGCAAAAAGUGCAAAGCAACCCAUUAACGAGACUCCUCUUGAGUAAAAGCCAAAGAAUAAAAGUGUGUUUUCAGACGGCUCUUAAAAUUGCAGAGCGUGGUGGCUUGUUUGACACAUGUAGGUAGCUCAUUCCAGAGCCUCGGCCCCAGUACUGAGAAAGCACGACCCCCUCGAGAUUUUAGUCUGUGUUUGGGAACGACCAGCAGUCUUUGCUGUGCUGACCGAAGGAUUCUUGAGGGAACACAAGGAUGGAUCAGAUCCGAUAGACAUGAGAUGUAAAAGUUCCCUUUUUAUUCAGAGUGAGGUAUCCAGCAGUCUGAGAUAAAGGAGGAAAGGGCUUUUGUGGGAGACCUUGGCAGUUUUUUAUGUCUGCGUUGAAGAACAAUAAGUGAGCAAAAGGUCGAUUUUUACGUCUGAUUCCUCCAGCUGGCAUAACCUUGACUUUGCAGCUCUGGCGUGCAUGAAAGGUUACUGUGUCAAUUCGCUGGUGAAAACUGACCCUUUUUAUUCAUUACAACAACAACAACAACAAUAAUAAUAAUAACAAUAACAAUAACAUUAAUAAUAACAGAAAAUUGAGCAAGAGUUUUUUUCCUGCUACACUGAUUACUGGAAGCAGAGAUAUAAGUAAAUAAAAUCAAUUCUCCAGAGGCAGAAGAAUCUCCUAGCUUCUCACUAACGGCAAGCAUUCUGGUUAUCUGACACAUUCUUAAUCCCAGGUAGCUGACUCUGCAUGGUGAAGGUGAUGUUUCCAGCUUGACAACUCAAACAUUUCUUGUGAAGAAGUGCAGGUGAAGAGAACGUUGUCGCUAUUAUUUCUAGCCAGUAAAUUGUUAAAAUGCAAGCUAUCAUUAGAUGAACUUCUUUCUGCUGAUAAACUGUAUAAAUGCAUGUCUAAUAAUGCACAUUGAAUUAUUAUGGCAUUUUAGUGCACCUUGUCUAAACUAUAAUUAUCCUGCCUAAAACUGCCACUGUAGCGCCCUCAUCAGGUAAAACGUCUACUCUACAUUUGAAUAUGAAUUAGCCACACCAGCCAUCGCUAUUGGCUAAGCUGGUGGUGUCGUUGCUAGCCAGUAUUUCUUACCAGGCUGUAAAAAAUGUCAUGCCUCUAAUGAUCCUGCUGCUGAAGAGAAUUAGGACAGUGGUUCCCAACCAUUUUUCCUGGAGGAACUCCUUGUUUUUGCCAAGACAAGCCAGGACCCCCAACCCCAAUCCUACCUGUAUACACUCAGUACAAGUGAUGAUUUACAAAGUUUAUACAGACACAGUCUCAUGCAGUUUUAUUGUGCUACUAGAUGUGUUAUUGAGAUUUUAUAAAUGUAAUUUUUACAAAUAUAAUCUUGAUAACCUCAGCAAAGAUCCUCUGCAAUCAUGUAUCCCUCAUGAGGUAGCAGACUCUAUGUAACUCCAGGGAACCACUGAUUUAGGAGGUCUCUUUGAACCAAACCAGGAGGUUCAGGAAGUGUAGUUGUCCGGGAUGGAUCUACAGACGACAGGAUAAACUAGCCUGUUAUUAUCAUUUGUGAUGUAGAAGAAUCCUGGAAAAAAGUGGCUUUUCUACUGAAAUCAUUUCAUUCUGAAGAGGUAGGCUUUGGCUGUGCUGCCUAAGUGGAUUUCUAUUGUAGUUUUAGGUCAGUAUGGGUUCUGAUUUAACAUGGACCAUGUUCUCAGGUUGUUAUAACAAACUUGCAUCAGCUGUUUUAAUACAAUAUAAAUCAAAACAUUAUUUAACAUUUUAUUGUUUAUUUUUUCCUUCUCUCCCAAUAGCUAGUACACACUACAGAAUAAAUAUACUGGGUAGAAUAAGCAAAGGGUUUGAAUUAUUUUAGACUUGUGUGUAACAUAUUUAAGAGAUAAGUUCAGAUGUACUUUGUGCAUCGGGGGGAGAUCCCCUGUGUGAUUAUCAGGUUCUCUGUCUCUGUUGACCUCUGAAACAAAAUAUGGCAAACUACAUAAUCUGUAACUUUUCUGUUCUGAUGACGAUUGGUUCUGAAGUCCGAAGAUAUAGAUGCCUGAUGUGAGUCUUAAAGGACCCCCCAUCAGUCAUUGGGCCCUGCCAGGUUCUCAGACCAGGAGAUACCUGCAGUCUCAUUGCAGUGUAACAAUCUAUUGCUUGAUGGGACCUGAGACAAUCACAACGGCCUAGCGAGUGGUAAAGACGUUUCAUUUUUAACAACAGCUACUAAAAUGAACAGCAGGCAUUUUAUGUGUAUAUGGUCCAGAACGCAGCGGCACGUGUGGUCUUCAAUAAGCCAAAAAGAACACACGUCACCCCUCUGUUUGUCAUGAGUCUGCUGUUUUUCUCUCUGAGGCCCUGUCCACACGUAGCCGGGGAUCUGCCAAAACGUAGAUAUUUUUCUACGUUUUGGCCUGUCAUCCACACGAAAACUGAGUUUUUUCACACGAAAACGGAUCUUUUUAAAAACUCCGGCCAAAGUGAAGAUCUGCGUUUUCUCCGUUUUGGGUGUCUGCGUGUGGACGGACAAAACCGGAGUUUUAAGGUCCGCAACGUCACUUUCCGCGACAAAAAAUGCUGACAUCACGUGUGCAACCUGUGUUCACACUAGCUGGCAUCAUGGAAGCCCUCAGAGCUGCGCUCUGUCACUACCCGAUCCAUCAAUUGUCCAAGCACUUUCUGCUUGUUUGUUUUUGCAAGCAGAAUUACUGCUCCUUGCGGAAGACCACAAAUGAAGGACGAGGUUAAGAACGGGGGAAGUACUGCCGCCUACAGGUCUGGCAUGUCCUUAACAACAUAUUUAUCCGGGUACGUGCGGACAGAGUUUGUUUUUAAAACGCGGUGAUGUGGAUGCAAGUUUUUGGAGGGGCGGAUGUUCGUUUUUAAAAAACCCCGGCUACGUGUGGACUAGGCCUCAAUCUCUUUGCAGGUGGGCGUGUCGGAGAGCCUCAGCUGCUGCUAAUUUCCCAUCAGCAAGGCCAGGGGAUUUAAGGAGUGGCGUGUCCACACUCCAGCGCCGGUUGAUACUCUCACCUGGAUCUACUACCGGAUCCCAGCCUGAGUUCUCGUCUUUCCUGGAGUGUGAACCUCAACAUCGUCACUCAUCUCCCCUGGCCAUCUGCUUUCUGCUGUUCACCUGCCCUGGAUACCCGUCAGCCACAGCCCUCCUGCCUCAACCCAAUUCUCUAUCGACCAGACCUGACCAACCCUCUCCUUACAUCCAUCCUCUGUUCUGGCUCCACCCCGGCCCGGUUUCCGCUUCGAAGUUUCACCCUUAGUUCCCGUUGGCUUCUUCCAGCACCCGUUUGGAAGUGUGUCCUCUGUUUAUUAUUUUUCAUUUAUUAUUUUUUCAUUUAAUACAACCAUAUUCUUAUUUCUUA